rnacentral:misc_RNA from 1 species
GGAAUAAUGUCAUGGACUUAUGACGUGAGAUAGAACAUUGAGCUACUUGUCCAAUGGCAUAUAAGUUUUUAAGAUGUAUAUUGGCUGGCACGGCAUCGAAGAUUGUGGUAAUAUGAAAAUUGGAAAGUGAUUGUACUACAAAGAAUGCAUAUCUACUGAGAAUCAUAAUUAACAUGAUUGAUUGUUGGAUGUCAAAGAGACGCCUUUAUGAGAGGAUUCCCUGGAAAUUAAAGCAGAGGACGUAUUAAGAGAGUAGGCAGUAGCCAUAGAAUCUUGGAAAUUGUAAUGCUGCAGCCAUUGUCUAGCUAAGCUCAAUUAUGUAAACCUCCUGUCAUGUAACUGGCCGCUGGAUCCGUCUGAGCAAUUCAGGAUUGUUUUUGCUUCUGAUGCCCUUCGGGG